CGUAGGGCGCAAGCGUUGUCCGGAAUUAUUGGGCGUAAAGAGCUCGUAGGUGGCUUGUCACGUCGGGUGUGAAAGCUUGGGGCUUAACUCCAGGUCUGCAUUCGAUACGGGCUGGCUAGAGGUAGGUAGGGGAGAACGGAAUUCCUGGUGUAGCGGUGAAAUGCGCAGAUAUCAGGAGGAACACCGGUGGCGAAGGCGGUUCUCUGGGCCUUACCUGACGCUGAGGAGCGAAAGCGUGGGGAGCGAACAGGAUU
rnacentral:rRNA from 1 species